rnacentral:rRNA from 1 species
GUGCCAGCAGCCGCGGUAAUACGUAGAGUGCAAGCGUUGUCCGGAAUUAUUGGGCGUAAAGGGUACGCAGGCGGAUAAUCAAGUCAAGCGUGAAAGGUGUCGGCUUAACCGACAGACUGCGUUUGAAACUGGUUAUCUUGAGUGUAACAGAGGAGAGUGGAAUUCCUAAUGUAGUGGUGAAAUACGUAGAUAUUAGGAAGAACACCAGUGGCGAAGGCGACUCUCUGGGUUAACACUGACGCUGAGGUACGAAAGCUGGGGGAGCGAACGGGAUUAGAUACCCCGGUAGUCCCAGCCGUAAACGAUGGAUACUAGGUGUUGGAGGUUCGAAUCCUUCAGUGCCGGAGUUAACGCAUUAAGUAUCCCGCCUGGGGAUUACGAUCGCAAGAUUGAAACUCAAAGGAAUUGACGGGGGCCCGCACAAGCGGUGGAGCAUGUGGUUUAAUUCGAAGCAACGCGCAGAACCUUACC